GUCAGAAUCACAAAGGACAGAGUCAAGCCCAGUAGUGCUGGAAUAAGACAGCAGCAAGAGUGACCUGAAGCUGUCAGAGAUCUUUUGACAUAGGAGCUUAAGUGCUGAGGUUUGGGUGGGGAUAAAUGGAUCAAACUGUGAGUAUUACUGUGAGAGUUUUUAUUUUGACACAACCUGCACUGUACCAUUCAGCAUCCUAAGGAUGUGGACUAUUUUGUACAUCAAUAUGAUGUUGCAGCCUUCCCCUCCUUUCUCUGUACCCCUCUUUCUGGAUUCUUCCAUAUUUAUCUCAUUCUUUUUAUUCCAUGGUAACUGUACUGUUUCCUUCAGUUUAUUUAAAACUUUUCAAUGCAUAGGUAUGUUUGGCAUAACAUGUAAAAAACUGAAUGUACAGAAAUGAAAAAGAGUAACACUUAUUAUAAUGUAGCUACAUGUUUAUGAAAUCUAAGAACUAAAAGCUAGUGGGGGUCCAAAGAGCAACAAAGAUUAUUUGCAGCUGAUUUGGGAGGUUAUUUUAUUGUUGGAUUUUCUGUUCUUGUUGUUGUUGCUUUUUUGAAUUGUUAGCUGCAAACGCAGUUCCAUUGAAACAGAGCCAGGGUAUCAUAACCACACAACACUGAUAUGAGAAUAAUAACCAACUCUCCCUUGCUUUGAGUUCUAUUCUACCCUUAUUUCCCUUAUUUCCACGCAAGUCUCAUUUCAAAAUUCAUAAUCUAAACGUAUCUUCAGGAUCUUAUUUUUAAUAUAAAUAACAAUAGAUAUUAACAUAGUCAAUCAGAUUUUUCACAUGAUGCCCAAGAGCAAAUUCUAAUGUUGAAAAUGUUUUUUCAUUACAUUUUAAUGAGGAAAUCAUGCAAGAAAGUUUUGUAUACUGGGAUUUUACCAAAAUAAGUAUUGUAGGAUCCUGUGCCUAACCAGAAUGACAAUCUAAAUGUAAAAAUUCAUAGUCUGGUGCUUUCUUCCCACAGAAUGACUCAGCCGUCCCUUGGUACAUACGCGGCCAAUGCUGCAGUUUCCCUGUUGAAUUGCGGGAUUAUUAAAUGGGCAUGUGGCCAAGUCAAGGCAAGAAACUCAUUUGGCAAAGGGCAGAGGAGAGGCCUCUUCUACUUAAUAGAAUGCUUGUUUUUUUGUUUUGUGUUGUUUUGUUUUGCUUCUCCUUUCCCAGAGGUAGCUACUACAGCUGUGGAUUUUUGACCCAUUUGCUACAAUUUCAAAGAACUGUGUCCAUAACAAAAUCCACCAUCUUUCCCUCUGAAGUGGUUCAAGUGGUUCUUCUCUUACUUCUAAUUUUAAUGACUGUUACCACACCGUAAUUAGGGGUUCCUGCGCAGCUAUUUUUGCAUGACAGCUAUUUUUGUCUCCUAGAAACAAUGCAUUAAAUAAUAGUCCUGUCUCCCUGGAUUUGAUCAUUAGAGUCCAUAAUCCCAACAGAAGAUGUAGAAUAUUUACUUCUAUUACUUUAAAUGUCAGCUUUUGGAAGUGUAUUUUAUAUACAAUAAAACACAGCCAUUUUAAGGGUACAGUUUGAUGUGUUUUGACAAAUGUAUUUACCCAUGUAACCACCAUCCGCAUCAUGACUUAGGACAUUUUCGUCGACCCUAAAACUUCCCUCAAGACCCUUUGCAGUCCUCCAUUUCCUACUCCAGGCAACAUUCUAUCAUUCUAGAUUAGUGUGACCUCUUCUUAAUUGUAAUAUAAAAGAGAAUCUUAUCCAUGUAUACUCUGGUAUCCAUCUUCUUUUGCUCAACAUAAUGAUCGUUGGCAUUAUCCAUGCUAUAGCAUGUGCCAGUAGUGCAUUAUUUGCUAUUAAUGAAUAGUAAACCAUUACAUAAUUAUAUCACAUAUUAUUUUUUCUGUUUUUUUGUUCAUGAGCAUUGGAUUGUUUCCAGAAUUUGGCUACUAUAAGUUGCUAUGAACCUUCACUUACAAGUCUCUCUGUGGACAUAUGUUUGCAUUUCUCUUGGGUAAAUAUCUAAGAAUGGAAAUGCCGGAUUAUAGGGAUGUCAUCCAGAGCACCAUGUUACAUUUAGUCAUCAGUUUCUAGUUAGGCUUCUUUCGGGUGUGAUAGGUUCUCAGAAUUUUCCUGUUUUUGAUGGCCUUGACAGUUUCCAUCUAUUGGGAUGUCUGACAUCUUUGUCAUGAUCAGACUGGGAUGUGCUUUCUUGGGAGGAAGAUAACCGAGGUCAUACGAAGAAGACGGUGGUUUUUACAUCUUUAUUAUUUAUAAUAUAUAUUAUCAAACCUACCUGGAGAAAGAGUGUACCAGUUUGUCUUCCAAUCAACAGUUUACAAGAGUGCCUAUUUCCCUGCCUUCUUGCCAAUAGUUAUAUAUUAUAAUUAAAAAAAAAAUGCCUAUUUGGUAGAUGACUGAUGAUACCGGAUUUUUGUGCUUAUUUGAUUACUAGUGAAGUUGAACAUAAUUUUAUUCUUUAACUGGAAAUGCAAUAUACCAUAGUGAUUAAAAGCCAGCUCAGGAAUAAGAGACCUGGACUCAACUACCAACACUCUGAUCUAAGGCAAGUGAGUUCACCCUUCUGAGGCUCGGUUUACUCAUAUGUCAAAUGUGGAUGAUGAUACAAUACUCAUGAUAGGUUUAUUGUGAGGACCAAACGAGAAAAUUCUUAUAAAGUUUUGAGCACAAUGUUUGGCAUAUCAUAAGGUUAAACAGACAUUCAUUCUUGUUAGUUUGUGUGUAUUGUUUUAUUCCAUCACUUUUUCAUAUCCUUCAUUGACUUUUCAUGUUUUAUUAAUUUGAAAUAGCUCUUAAAAUACUUAAGUUAUUAAACCUUUGUCACAAAUGUUGCACCCUUUUUAUCCUGGUUUGUAGUUUGCCAUUUAUUUUUGUUCAUAAUGCCUUGACAUCAAAAUAUUUAAAGAUGAUAUAAUCAUAGCUAUUGUGUUCCUUUAUGGAUUCUGCCUUUAAUGUUCUGCCAAGAAUUACCUUUCCCAUUCUAGGUUUUACACACGUAUGCAAAUGAUCUUAUAUUUUAGUUUAAUGUAUAUGUAUAUGAUCUUAUAUUUUAGCUUAAUUUUUUAACAUAUAAAUAUUUAAUUCAUCUGGAAUUCGUGAUUUAGAGAGGUUAAUGGUACCUUCUUUUGCAAUGGACCGCUAGUUUUUCUAACACUAUUGAUUGAAUAAUUGACCCUCAUCUCAAUGAUG